rnacentral:tRNA from 1 species
UCUAAUAUGGCAGAAUAGUGCAAUGGAGUUAAGACCCAAAUAUAAAGUUUUACUUUUUUUAGAA